rnacentral:rRNA from 1 species
GCGCAGCCUGAUCUAGCCAUGCCGCGUGUGUGAUGAAGGUCUUAGGAUCGUAAAGCACUUUCGCCAGGGAUGAUAAUGACAGUACCUGGUAAAGAAACCCCGGCUAACUCCGUGCCAGCAGCCGCGGUAAUACGGAGGGGGUUAGCGUUGUUCGGAAUUACUGGGCGUAAAGCGUACGUAGGCGGAUCAGAAAGUUAGGGGUGAAAUCCCGAGGCUCAACCUCGGAACUGCCUCUAAAACUCCUGGUCUUGAGUUCGAGAGAGGUGAGUGGAAUUCCAAGUGUAGAGGUGAAAUUCGUAGAUAUUUGGAGGAACACCAGUGGCGAAGGCGGCUCACUGGCUCGAUACUGACGCUGAGGUACGAAAGUGUGGGGAGCAAACAGGAUUAGAUACCCUGGUAGUCCACACCGUAAACGAUGAAUGCCAGUCGUCGGGCAGUAUACUGUUCGGUGACACACCUAACGGAUUAAGCAUUCCGCCUGGGGAGUACGGUCGCAAGAUUAAAACUCAAAUG